AUCUGGUUGAUCCUGCCAGUAGUCAUAUGCUUGUCUCAAAGAUUAAGCCAUGCAAGUCUAUGUAUAAAUCUUUAUACGGUGAAACUGCGAAUGGCUCAUUAUAUCAGUUAUCGUUUAUUUGAUAAUCACUGCUACUUGGAUAACUGUAGUAAUUCUAGAGCUAAUACAUGCGUCAAUGCCCGACUUUGGAAGGGCUGUGUUUAUUAGAUCCAAAACCAAUGCGGGGCAACCCGGUUACUGGUGAUUCAUAAUAACCUAUCGGACCGAAUGGCCUUGCGCCGUCGGUGCAUCAUUCAAAUUUCUGCCCUAUCAAUUUGUUGGUAGUAUAUAGGACUACCAAGAUGAUUACGGGUAACGGAGAAUUAGGGUUUGAUUCCGGAGAGGGAGCCUGAGAAACGGCUACCACAUCUAAGGAAGGCAGCAGGCGCGCAAAUUCCCCAAUCUCGACAUGAGGAGGGAGUGACAAGAAAUAUUAAUGCUGGGUUUUACUUGGCAAUUAAAAUGAGAACAAUUUAAAACUCUUAUCGAGUAUCCAUUGGAGGGCAAGUCUGGUGCCAGCAGCCGCGGUAAUUCCAGCUCCAAUAGCGUAUAUUAAAGUUGUUGCAGUUAAAAAGCUCGUAGUUGUAUUUCGGGGGUUUUUGCCGUCCUGUCCGCCGCAAGGCGCGCACUGGGACUGGCGGCCUCUUUUUACUUCCAAUGGCCUCCGCCUGGUUACACCGGGUGGGAUUCAGGAAAUUGGAUAUUUUACUUUGAAUAAAUAAGAGUGUUCAAAGCAGGCGUUUCGCUUGAAUUCAUCAGCAUGGAAUAAUGGAAUAGGACUUUGGUCUUAUUUUGUUGGUUUCUAGGACCGAAUUAAUGAUUAAUAGGGACAGUUGGGGUCGUUUAUAUUAAAUUGUCAGAGGUGAAAUUCUUGGAUUUAUUUAAGAUAAACUACUGCGAAAGCAUUCGGCAAGGAUGUUUUCAUUAAUCAAGAACGAAAGUUAGAGGAUCGAAGAUGAUUAGAUACCGUCGUAGUUUUAACAGUAAACGAUGCCGUCCGCCGAUGAUGGGGCGUUUUUUCAAAGACCCCCGUCGCAGGCAGAGAGAAAUCAGAGAUUUUGGGUUCCGGGGGGAGUAUGGUCGCAAGAUUGAAACUUAAAGGAAUUGACGGAAGGGCACCACCAGGAGUGGAGCCUGCGGCUUAAUUUGACUCAACACGGGAAACUUUACCAGGUCCGGACAUUAUGAGGAUUGACAGAUUGAAAGCUCUUUCUUGAUUUGAUGGUUGGUGGUGCAUGGCCGUUCUUAGUUGGUGGUGUGAACCGUCUGCUUAAUUGCGAUAACGAACGAGACCUUCAUUUGCUAAAUAGUUACGCGCAAGCAAUUGCGACGGACAACUUCUUAGAAAGACUAACGGGGUCUUACCCGUGGGAAGCUGGAGGCAAUAACAGGUCUGUGAUGCCCUUAGAUGUUCUGGGCCGCACGCGCGCUACACUGAAAAUACCAGCAAGUUCACCCGUACUGGUCCGAGAGGAUUGGUGAAUCUUUGAAAUGUUUUCGUGAUAGGGCUAGAUUCUUGCAAUUAUUAAUCUUCAACGAGGAAUUCCUAGUAAGUGCAGUUCAUCAGACUGCGCUGAUUACGUCCCUGCCCUUUGUACACACCGCCCGUCGCUCCUACCGAUUGAAAAUUCAGGUGAAAUAUCGGGAUUUUGGCGCUUGGGCGCAAGUCCUUGCGUCGAGAGAACUUUCUUGAAUCUUAAUUUUUAGAGGAAGGAGAAGUCGUAACAAGGUUUCCGUAGGUGAACCUGCGGAAGGAUCAUUA
rnacentral:rRNA from 1 species